GAUGAACGCUGGCGGCGUGCCUAAUACAUGCAAGUCGAGCGAACGGACGAGAAGCUUGCUUCUCUGAUGUUAGUGGCGGACGGGCGAGUAACACGUGGAUAACCUACCUAUAAGACUGGGAUAACUUCGGGAAACCGGAGCUAAUACCGGAUAAUAUUUUGAACCGCAUGGUUCAAAAGUGAAAGACGGUCUUGCUGUCACUUAUAGAUGGAUCCGCGCUGCAUUAGCUAGUUGGUAAGGUAACGGCUUACCAAGGCAACGAUGCAUAGCCGACCUGAGAGGGUGAUCGGCCACACUGGAACUGAGACACGGUCCAGACUCCUACGGGAGGCAGCAGUAGGGAAUCUUCCGCAAUGGGCGAAAGCCUGACGGAGCAACGCCGCGUGAGUGAUGAAGGUCUUCGGAUCGUAAAACUCUGUUAUUAGGGAAGAACAUAUGUGUAAGUAACUGUGCACAUCUUGACGGUACCUAACCAGAAAGCCACGGCUAACUACGUGCCAGCAGCCGCGGUAAUACGUAGGUGGCAAGCGUUAUCCGGAAUUAUUGGGCGUAAAGCGCGCGUAGGCGGUUUUUUAAGUCUGAUGUGAAAGCCCACGGCUCAACCGUGGAGGGUCAUUGGAAACUGGAAAACUUGAGUGCAGAAGAGGAAAGUGGAAUUCCAUGUGUAGCGGUGAAAUGCGCAGAGAUAUGGAGGAACACCAGUGGCGAAGGCGACUUUCUGGUCUGUAACUGACGCUGAUGUGCGAAAGCGUGGGGAUCAAACAGGAUUAGAUACCCUGGUAGUCCACGCCGUAAACGAUGAGUGCUAAGUGUUAGGGGGUUUCCGCCCCUUAGUGCUGCAGCUAACGCAUUAAGCACUCCGCCUGGGGAGUACGACCGCAAGGUUGAAACUCAAAGGAAUUGACGGGGACCCGCACAAGCGGUGGAGCAUGUGGUUUAAUUCGAAGCAACGCGAAGAACCUUACCAAAUCUUGACAUCCUUUGACAACUCUAGAGAUAGAGCCUUCCCCUUCGGGGGACAAAGUGACAGGUGGUGCAUGGUUGUCGUCAGCUUGUGUCGUGAGAUGUUGGGUUAAGUCCCGCAACGAGCGCAACCCUUAAGCUUAGUUGCCAUCAUUAAGUUGGGCACUCUAAGUUGACUGCCGGUGACAAACCGGAGGAAGGUGGGGAUGACGUCAAAUCAUCAUGCCCCUUAUGAUUUGGGCUACACACGUGCUACAAUGGACAAUACAAAGGGCAGCGAAACCGCGAGGUCAAGCAAAUCCCAUAAAGUUGUUCUCAGUUCGGAUUGUAGUCUGCAACUCGACUACAUGAAGCUGGAAUCGCUAGUAGUCGUAGAUCAGCAUGCUACGGUGAAUACGUUCCCGGGUCU
rnacentral:rRNA from 1 species